GGUUAAGCGACUAAGCGUACACGGUGGAUGCCCUGGCAGUCAGAGGCGAUGAAGGACGUGCUAAUCUGCGAUAAGCGCCGGUAAGGUGAUAUGAACCGUUAUAACCGGCGAUUUCCGAAUGGGGAAACCCAGUGUGACUCGUCACACUAUCAUUAACUGAAUCCAUAGGUUAAUGAGGCGAACCGGGGGAACUGAAACAUCUAAGUACCCCGAGGAAAAGAAAUCAACCGAGAUUCACCAGUAGCGGCGAGCGAACGGGGAGGAGCCCAGAGCCUGAAUCAGCAUGUGUGUUAGUGGAAGCGUCUGGAAAGGCGCGCGAUACAGGGUGACAGCCCCGUACACAAAAGCGCAUGUGCUGUGAGCUCGAUGAGUAGGGCGGGACACGUGGUAUCCUGUCUGAAUAUGGGGGGACCAUCCUCCAAGGCUAAAUACUCCUGACUGACCGAUAGUGAACCAGUACCGUGAGGGAAAGGCGAAAAGAACCCCGGCGAGGGGAGUGAAAAAGAACCUGAAACCGUGUACGUACAAGCAGUGGGAGCACAGGUUUACCUGUGUGACUGCGUACCUUUUUGUAUAAUGGGUCAGCGACUUAUAUUCUGUAGCAAGGUUAACCGAAUAGGGGAGCCGGAGGGAAACCGAGUCUUAACCGGGCGUUAAGUUGCAGGGUAUAGACCCGAAACCCGGUGAUCUAGCCAUGGGCAGGUUGAAGGUUGGGUAACACUAACUGGAGGACCGAACCGACUAAUGUUGAAAAAUUAGCGGAUGACCUGUGGCUGGGGGUGAAAGGCCAAUCAAACCGGGAGAUAGCUGGUUCUCCCCGAAAGCUAUUUAGGUAGCGCCUCGUGAAUUCAUCUCCGGGGGUAGAGCACUGUUUCGGCUAGGGGGCCAUCCCGGCUUACCAACCCGAUGCAAACUGCGAAUACCGGAGAAUGUUAUCACGGGAGACACACGGCGGGUGCUAACGUCCGUCGUGAAGAGGGAAACAACCCAGACCGCCAGCUAAGGUCCCAAAGUCAUGGUUAAGUGGGAAACGAUGUGGGAAGGCCCAGACAGCCAGGAUGUUGGCUUAGAAGCAGCCAUCAUUUAAAGAAAGCGUAAUAGCUCACUGGUCGAGUCGGCCUGCGCGGAAGAUGUAACGGGGCUAAACCAUGCACCGAAGCUGCGGCAGCGAACGUAUCACUUAAAGCGAUUCAGCGGGUUACGAUUGACGGAGCGAAGCGACGUCAAAGCGUAUACAAAGUCGAGUCGGUUUAAGGAUACGUUCGUUGGGUAGGGGAGCGUUCUGUAAGCCUGUGAAGGUGUGUCGUGAGGCAUGCUGGAGGUAUCAGAAGUGCGAAUGCUGACAUAAGUAACGAUAAAGCGGGUGAAAAGCCCGCUCGCCGGAAGACCAAGGGUUCCUGUCCAACGUUAAUCGGGGCAGGGUGAGUCGACCCCUAAGGCGAGGCCGAAAGGCGUAGUCGAUGGGAAACGGGUUAAUAUUCCCGUACUUGGUGUUACUGCGAAGGGGGGGACGGAGAAAGCUAUGUUGGCCGGGCGACGGUUGUCCCGGUUUAAGCGUGUAGGUGUGUGUUCCAGGUAAAUCCGGUUCACUUUAACACUGAGGCGUGAUGACGAGGCACUACGGUGCUGAAGCAACAAAUGCCCUGCUUCCAGGAAAAGCCUCUAAGCAUCAGGUAACAUCAAAUCGUACCCCAAACCGACACAGGUGGUCAGGUAGAGAAUACCAAGGCGCUUGAGAGAACUCGGGUGAAGGAACUAGGCAAAAUGGUGCCGUAACUUCGGGAGAAGGCACGCUGACAUGUAGGUGAAGUGAUUUACUCAUGGAGCUGAAGUCAGUCGAAGAUACCAGCUGGCUGCAACUGUUUAUUAAAAACACAGCACUGUGCAAACACGAAAGUGGACGUAUACGGUGUGACGCCUGCCCGGUGCCGGAAGGUUAAUUGAUGGGGUCAGCGCAAGCGAAGCUCCUGAUCGAAGCCCCGGUAAACGGCGGCCGUAACUAUAACGGUCCUAAGGUAGCGAAAUUCCUUGUCGGGUAAGUUCCGACCUGCACGAAUGGCGUAAUGAUGGCCAGGCUGUCUCCACCCGAGACUCAGUGAAAUUGAACUCGCUGUGAAGAUGCAGUGUACCCGCGGCAAGACGGAAAGACCCCGUGAACCUUUACUAUAGCUUGACACUGAACAUUGAGCCUUGAUGUGUAGGAUAGGUGGGAGGCUUUGAAGCGUGGACGCCAGUCUGCGUGGAGCCGACCUUGAAAUACCACCCUUUAAUGUUUGAUGUUCUAACGUGGGCCCGUAAUCCGGGUUGCGGACAGUGUCUGGUGGGUAGUUUGACUGGGGCGGUCUCCUCCUAAAGAGUAACGGAGGAGCACGAAGGUUGGCUAAUCCUGGUCGGACAUCAGGAGGUUAGUGCAAUGGCAUAAGCCAGCUUGACUGCGAGCGUGACGGCGCGAGCAGGUGCGAAAAGCAGGUCAUAGUGAUCCGGUGGUUCUGAAUGGAAGGGCCAUCGCUCAACGGAUAAAAAGGUACUCCGGGGAUAACAGGCUGAUACCGCCCAAGAGUUCAUAUCGACGGCGGUGUUUGGCACCUCGAUGUCGGCUCAUCACAUCCUGGGGCUGAAGUAGGUCCCAAGGGUAUGGCUGUUCGCCAUUUAAAGUGGUACGCGAGCUGGGUUUAGAACGUCGUGAGACAGUUCGAUUCCUAUCUGCCGUGGGCGCUGGAGAACUGAGGGGGGCUGCUCCUAGUACGAGAGGACCGGAGUGGACGCAUCACUGGUGUUCGGGUUGUCAUGCCAAUGGCACUGCCCGGUAGCUAAAUGCGGAAGAGAUAAGUGCUGAAAGCAUCUAAGCACGAAACUUGCCCCGAGAUGAGUUCUCCCUGAGACUUAGAGUCUCCUGAAGGAACGUUGAAGACGACGACGUUGAUAGGCCGGGUGUGUAAGCGCAGCGAUGCGUUGAGCUAACCGGUACUAAUGAACCGUGAGGCUUAACCUU
rnacentral:rRNA from 1 species